rnacentral:lncRNA from 1 species
GGCAAGCCAGUCAGACCGCAGGUCGUAUGCUAAUGAGCAAAACCGGCCUGUUUUAUUUCCAAUCCCGCGAGCGCUCGCUCCUGUCAUCUAACGUCUCGCGAGUCACGAGAUUUUUGUACCGUGUACUGCGAGUGCAGUUUAAGAGAAAACCAAGCUUUCUGCGGUCGCAAUGUUUAGGAGAUGGCAGAUUCAUGUAUAUGGUGACUUGAUUGUUCGUGGUGUAAGUUUUGAUCAGGAUCAGUUUGGUGGCAAAAUAUUCUGCUAUCCGGGUGCCACUGUUAGGAAUCUUCGACAGAAAUUAGAGCACAAACAGACUUUGACUCCACAGUGGAUGCAGUUGUAAUCCAUAUUGGAACUAACAAUCUUGGCAAUAGUGUCUGGGAAAGAACUGGAGGACAAUAUAGAGAUUUGAUUUUUAGUGUACGUGAGAAGUACAGAGAAUCAAGAAGCUGUGAGAAUGUAAAAACAACACAUUUACAGAAUCCUACCUCUGUGUCUUUAAUAGAAUCCGAUAACAGUGAUGAUUCUGAUUAUACAUCUAGUGAUGAAAGUGAUUUGGAAAUUAAUGACAGAGAUAUGCAGGUUGAUGAUGAUGUACAUGUCUUUGAGACCUCUGAAGGUAAUGUAAGAGAAGCUGAGAUAACAGAUUUUUCUGAAGAUGAAACAGAAUUGGCUUAAAUACUGACUGAUAUUACUUGUCGGAAUGUUUAAGAGUUAUUGCUCGGCAUUUGUAUUCUAUUUUAUAUAUGUUUGUAUUCAGAGUUUUAUUUAGUUAUGUACAUGUUCAUGCUGCCUCAUUGACGUAAUUACUGGUUAUUACAACUUAAUAUGUAUUAGAACUUUUGUUACAUUACUGUCAGCUUUUUAUCAAAGAGAUUUACUAGUAGAUAUGUUGUCUUCAUAUACAUGCCAGGUGUUUUCAGUUACACCCAUAUUUAUAGUGGUUAUUAAUUCUAGAUUGUUUUCUUGAGCACAUGCAUGUUCAUUAUUAUAUUAUAUUCUAGAGUUGAAGGAAGUGUAAACAAAAUGUUACACUGCUAUCUAGUAUCUACAUGUAUCUUGUAUUCUGCUUUUUAAAAUAAGAUGAAACUUGCCAGCUGACGUUUUGAAUGCUAUGGAGACACUUUUUUUUCUACUAGCGUUUGUACAAUCUUUCUUUUCUUGCCAAAGAAGGUUCUAUCUUUUUGUUUGAAUAGACUCUCUGAGAUAUUUAAAUACCGGUGAUCUGUAUGCAAUUAUGUUUAUGUUUGGAUCAUGGUAUGCUUUACUUUUAACAAAUGUUUUGUUUGCAUUUGCUGUCAUGGUGAUAAGUAUUGGUCACAGGGAGUCUUUCUUUAUUUUGUCAUAUUGUACAACUCUGCAUAUAUGUAUGUAUUUCCUAGAUAUGUUGUCUUCAUAUACAUGCACGGUGUUUUCAGUUACACCCAUAUUUAUAGUGGUUAUUAAUUCUAGAUUUUUUUUCAACACAUGCAUGGUCAUUAUUAUAUUUUUUUCUAGAGUUGAAGGAAGUGUACCGGUAAACAAAAUGUUACAUCUACAUGUACAUGUAUCUUGUAUUCUGCUUUUAAAAUAAGAUGAAACUUGCCAGCUGACGUUUUGAAUGCUACAUGUAUGGAGACACACUUACAUGUACUUU